rnacentral:rRNA from 1 species
AUUGAACGCUGGCGGUAUGCUUAACACAUGCAAGUCGAACGGCAGCAUAAUCUUCGGAUUGAUGGCGAGUGGCGGACGGGUGAGUAAUAUAUAGGAAUCUGCCUUGUAGUGGGGGAUAACUAUCCGAAAGGAUAGCUAAUACCGCAUAAUGAUUACGGUUUAAAGCAGGGGAUCUUCGGACCUUGCGCUACAAGUUGAGCCUAUACAAGAUUAGCUAGUUGGUGAGGUAAAGGCUCACCAAGGCGACGAUCUUUAGCUGGUCUGAGAGGAUGAUCAGCCACACUGGGACUGAGACACGGCCCAGACUCUUACGGGAGGCAGCAGUGGGGAAUAUUGGACAAUGGGCGCAAGCCUGAUUCAGCAAUACCGCGUGUGUGAAGAAGGCCUUCGGGUUGUAAAGCACUUUUGUUAGGGAGGAUGGUGAUAUUGGCGAAUACCCAAAGUCAUUGACGUUACCUAAAGAAUCAGCACCGGCUAACUCCGUGCCAGCAGCCGCCGUAA